GAUGAACGCUGGCGGCGUGCCUAAUACAUGCAAGUCGAGCGAACAGACGAGGAGCUUGCUCCUCUGACGUUAGCGGCGGACGGGUGAGUAACACGUGGAUCACCUACCUAUAAGACUGGGAUAACUUCGGGAAACCGUAGCUAAUACCGGAUAAUAUAUUGAACCGCAUGGUUCAAUAGUGAAAGACGGUUUUGCUUUCACUUAUAGAUUGAUCCGCGCCGCAUUAGCUAGUUGGUAAGGUAACGGCUUACCAAGGCAACGAUGCGUAGCCGACCUGAGCGGGUGGACGGACACACUGGAACUGAGAAACGGUCCAGACGCCUACGGGAGGCAGCAGUAGGGAAUCUUCCGCAAUGGGCGAAAGCCUGACGGAGCAACGCCGAGUGAGUGAUGAAGGUCUUCGGAUCGUAAAACUCUGUUAUUAGGGAAGAACAAAUGUGUAAGUAACUAUGCACGUCUUGACGGUACCUAAUCAGAAAGCCACGGCUAACUACGUG
rnacentral:rRNA from 1 species